AUACGGAGGGUGCAAGCGUUACUCGGAAUCACUGGGCGUAAAGCGCGCGCAGGCGGCUACUUAAGUUGGAUGUGAAAGCCUACGGCUCAACCGUAGAACUGCAUCCAAAACUAUUUAGCUAGAGUGUGGGAGAGGAAGAUGGAAUUAGUUGUGUAGGGGUAAAAUCCGUAGAGAUAACUAGGAAUACCAAAAGCGAAGGCAAUCUUCUGGAACACUACUGACGCUGAGGCGCGAAAGCGUGGGGAGCAAACGGGAUUAGAAACCCUAGUAGUCC
rnacentral:rRNA from 1 species